rnacentral:tRNA from 1 species
AUUUCUGUAGUCAACAAUGAUUUUAAAUUGCAAAUUUAAAGGUAGCUUUAGUUUAGAAAUU